CCCCCCCUCGAGGUCCCCUUCAGUGCCGCAGUUAACACAAUAAGUAAUCCACCUGGGGAGUACGACCGCAAGGUUGAAACUCAAAGGAAUUGACGGGGGCCCGCACAAGCAGUGGAGUAUGUGGUUUAAUUCGACGCAACGCGAAGAACCUUACCAAGUCUUGACAUCCCUUGACGAUGCUGGAAACAGUAUUUCUCUUCGGAGCAAGGAGACAGGUGGUGCAUGGUUGUCGUCAGCUCGUGUCGUGAGAUGUUGGGUUAAGUCCCGCAACGAGCGCAACCCUUAUGGUCAGUUACUACGCAAGAGGACUCUGGCCAGACUGCCGUUGACAAAACGGAGGAAGGUGGGGAUGACGUCAAAUCAUCAUGCCCUUUAUGACUUGGGCUACACACGUACUACAAUGGCGUUAAACAAAGAGAAGCAAGACCGCGAGGUGGAGCAAAACUCAGAAACAACGUCCCAGUUCGGACUGCAGGCUGCAACUCGCCUGCACGAAGUCGGAAUUGCUAGUAAUCGUGGAUCAGCAUGCCACGGUGAAUACGUUCCCGGGCCUUGUACACACCGCCCGUCACACCAUGAGAGCCGGGGGGACCCGAAGUCGGUAGUCUAACCGCAAGGAGGACGCCGCCGAAGGUAAAACUGGUGAUUGGGGUGAAGUCGUAACAAGGUAGCCGUAGGAGAACCUGCGGCUG
rnacentral:rRNA from 1 species